UUUGAACGCACCUUGCACCUUUUGGUAUUCCAAAAGGUACACCUGUUUGAGUGUCAU
rnacentral:rRNA from 1 species